AUUGAACGCUGGCGGCAGGCCUAACACAUGCAAGUCGAGCGAGCGGCGGACGGGUGAGUAAUGUCUGGGAAACUGCCUGAUGUAGGGGGAUAACUACUGGAAACGGUAGCUAAUACCGCAUACCAUCAGAUGUGCCCAGAUGGGAUUAGCUAGUAGGUGGGGUAACGGCUCACCUAGGCGACGAUCCCUAGCUGGGCUGAGAGGUUGACCAGCCACCAUGGAACUGAGACACGGUCCGGGCUCCUACGGGAGGCAGCAGUGGGGAAUAUUGCACAAUGGGAGUAGGCCUGAUGCAGCCAUGCCGCGUGUGUGAAGGGGUCCUUCGGGUUGUAAAGCACUUUCAGCGGGGAGGCGUUACCCUCAGAAGAAGCACCGGCUAACUCCGUGCCAGCAGCCGCGGUAAUUC
rnacentral:rRNA from 1 species